AACCCAUAAUGAUGGCAUAUUCUCAAAAGAUCUUUAAAUCUCUCUCAUGCAUCAUAUAAUGUCUCCAAUUCAAUUUGAGCAAAAGAAGAGAUGUUGUUCCUCCAUUU
rfam:Gossypium hirsutum cultivar TM-1 chromosome 11, whole genome shotgun sequence